rnacentral:rRNA from 1 species
AGCUAGUUGGUGAGGUAAUGGCUCACCAAGGCAAUGACACCUAACUGGUUUGAGAGGAUGAUCAGUCACACUGGAACUGAGACACGGUCCAGACUCCUACGGGAGGCAGCAGUGGGGAAUAUUGCACAAUGGACGAAAGUCUGAUGCAGCAACGCCGCGUGGAGGAUGACACAUUUCGGUGCGUAAACUCCUUUUAUAUAGGAAGAUAAUGACAGUACUAUAUGAAUAAGCACCGGCUAACUCCGUGCCAGCAGCCGCGGUAAUACGGAGGGUGCAAGCGUUACUCGGAAUUACUGGGCGUAAAGAGCGUGUAGGCGGGUAAAUAAGUUGGAAGUGAAAUCCUAUGGCUCAACCAUAGAACUGCUUCCAAAACUGUUAACCUAGAAUGUGGGAGAGGUAGAUGGAAUUUCUGGUGUAGGGGUAAAAUCCGUAGAUAUCAGAAGGAAUACCGAUUGCGAAGGCGAUCUACUGGAACACUAUUGACGCUGAGACGCGAAAGCGUGGGGAGCAAACAGGAUUAGAUACCCUGGUAGUCCACGCCCUAAACGAUGUACACUAGUUGUUGUGAGGCUAGACCUUGCAGUAAUGCAGUUAACACAUUAAGUGUACCGCCUGGGGAGUACGGUCGCAAGAUUAAAACUCAAAGGAAUAGACGGGGACCCGCACAAGCGGUGGAGCAUGUGGUUUAAUUCGACAUACGCGAAGAACCUUACCUGGUCUUGACAUAGAAAGAACUUUCCAGAGAUGGAUUGGUGCCUGCUUGCAGGAGCUUUCAUACAGGUGCUGCACGGCUGUCGUCAGCUCGUGUCGUGAGAUGUUGGGUUAAGUCCCGCAACGAGCGCAACCCUCGUCGUUAGUUGCUAACAGUUCGGCUGAGAACUCUAACGAGACUGCCUACGCAAGUAGGAGGAAGGUGAGGACGACGUCAAGUCAUCAUGGCCCUUACGACCAGGGCUACACACGUGCUACAAUGGGGUAUACAAAGAGCAGCGAUACGGUGACGUGGAGCGAAUCUCAAAAAUGCCUCCCAGUUCGGAUAGUAGUCUGCAACUCGACUACUUGAAGUUGGAAUCGCUAGUAAUCGUAGAUCAGCUAUGCUACGGUGAAUACGUUCCCGGGUCUUGUACUCACCGCCCGUCACACCAUGGGAGUUGAAUUCAUUCGAAGCGGGGAUGCUAAAAUAGCUACCUUCCACAGUGGAUUUAGCGACUGGGGUGAAGUCGAAACAAGGUAACCGUAGGAACCUGCGGUUG